UUUCGAGAAAUAGGGAGCGAGCAGCCACCCCUCUUCUUGCCUCGCUUCUCGCAACCUUGACCUUCCCUCCGUAGCGUGUUGGAGAGAAAACCCUAAUCCCUCCGGCGAUGCGGUCAGCCCGCUCGUUCCUUCUCUCCGGCGAGCUCGAUUCGUGGAGGAAGGCAAUGUCUUCGACCCUUCUCGAGCUGACGCGGGCCGCCCACGAGAACGUGGAGCGGUCGCUCGUCGUGAAGGAGCUCCCAUGGGAGCCGGCCAACACUGGGGAGGGCCUCUUCCAGAACCACCACGUCCACCACAUGAUCACUCUCAUCACGACCAUCACCGACAAGCUCAUCGACAUAUAUGAGGACAAAGAAAAUACGAGGAGAGAUGAGAUUGCAGCAAUGGGACGGGUGGUCCCAACAAUUCUUUCCCUGCUUUCUAUGUUCGUCUGAAGGCGGUGAAGAUCUUCUAUUGAACCCUCGAAGUAAUGAACAGAUUUGUGAUUACCAUAGGCAACAUCCAGCUGCAUGUAUGAUUGAUGCAAAUGAAGAACUUGAAGAGUUACUGAAGGAAGAACCGUGAAUUGAAUUCAGCAAAGAUGGAGCACAGAAUAUUUGUCGCAUGUUUUGGUGGGUUCAGGUUGUAUCUUUUGCGCCAAAGCAUGAUUGAUCUUGCACAACAUAGACUGCUGGAUUUGUCCCACAAAGAUUUCAAAGCAUUCCUCCAUUCAUCUGCUUGCACAGGUCUUGAAGCAACCAUUGUGUGAUCAAACAGUGGAUCGCACAGAGGAAGAUGAAUCCUUCUUUUGCGCGAAAGAUACAAGCCCUAUCCUGUUUUGGAAUAUUUGAUUUCUUUUUUGGAGCAUGCACAGCCCCUGCAAGACCCUGAGAGAAGAUUUACCAAGGGUGGAGACCAAGUUGGAAGAGCAGUAGGCUGAUGGUAAAGUACUUGGAUGGGAAAACAAGGGGCUAGAAAAUGAGCAUAUUUCAUCACAAGAGUCCGUGAUUGAUCUUGAUUAUUAUAGUACUGGAAGAAUUUAUGGAAGUGGGCCCUGAAAAAUUAAAAGAGGUCUUAGCUGCUCAUGGAUUGAAAACUGGCAGCACACUUUAGCAGCAUCAGAGUGCAUAUUUCUGACAAAGACCAUUGUACAAGGAGAGGAAAAUGUUGAAAAAACAAACUUUAACAUAUGAGGAGAUGGAGGCUGAACGUGAAGAGGCAGGAGGAAAUAAAAGCUGGUACUGAGAGUGAUGAUGAAGAGCAGCAAAUUUUUAAGAUCCUCUGAAGUUGUCUAUGGGUUGGGAUGACAAGCUUAUACCCUACUGGCUCAAUAAGCUUCAUGGUCUUGCCGAGUUCAAAAUUUUCUCAGCUGGCAGAGUAAAAUGAAGCAGCCUCUAAAAUGUUUCCAAUGCAUGAACUCGCAAUGAUAUGCGAAGCAAAGGAUCUGUAGGAUAAAAUACAAGAACAAAAACAAUUGACCAAGUGGCGACCAGACCUUGAAGAAGAGCAUGAAGACACGGGAGGGUAACAUUUAUAACAAGAAAACAUACACUGACCUGCCGCACGAAGGCCUCAUUUGACAUAGGGCUGACUCUAAGCAGAGCAAACCCGUUCCAUUGCCCAAGUGGUAAGGGUGAUACCACCGGAGGAAGCGCUUGGUGGUGUAUGCUCGUUGCUGCUGUCUACCCGAGUCUGUCGGUCUGUCAAGUCUCUACAAAUGUUGCAAUAUAUACAGGAAAUGCUGCAGAUGAGAGCUUGGAGAACUUUUUAUCCACUUUGGAGCUUUAGGCAUUUCCUUGUACGCACACCAUACCUCUUGCACAUUGAGUUCAUUUCUUGUCUAAUUUCGCCAUGUUGUCUGGAUCAAAAUGCUCGGUCGUUUCUCAGGUGCAAGAAGAACUAAUGAAUAAUAUACGCAGCAGUUAUUGAUAGGCCUCCAGGCAAAUAUCCAGAUGAAGAUGAAGUGAGAAAGUUC